UCAUUUCAUGUCAUUACAUAGGAUUCCGUACAAGAAAAUACAAAUUUGACAUUUUGACCAAACUGUUGACUUUGGUCAACAAUUGACUUUUUGGUCAAUUUUGACCAAAGUCAACCCAGAUCCAUUAAACCCUAAGUUCACCCAUAAUUGUCCAUUAAAUAUCCAUUUUACAAAGAAAUCACAAAGAAAAUACAUUUUGACCAUUUUGUUGACUUUGGUCAACAGUUGACUUUUUGGUAAACUUUGACCAAAGUCAACCCUCACUUGCUCUUGACUAUCCAAACUUGGCCUGACCCUUUUGCUUCAAUGCACAACCAAUCUUCAUAUUUGUUGGUGAUUUUUCUUGGUUUCUUCCAUUACAAGCAAGUCACAUUGUAAAAACCAUGUUGUCUUGACAUUUUGGAACCAAU
rnacentral:lncRNA from 1 species